CAUCAUCAUUAAGAUCAAACUGCCUAGGCUGACGGUCUUACCUUACUCUAAAAGGAAGAUUUCUACUUGUAUUUUGGUUUACUUGUGCAGCUACAUUCUCUGCAUGACUUGGGUUAGCAGGAUCUAACAAGUCCUCAUCCCCCAAAUCAUCAUCAUCAGGAUUAGGAUGACGUAUAGGUUGACCAUCAUUCUGUUGAUUAUUUUGGGCUCUA
rnacentral:lncRNA from 1 species